UCUACUAAAACUCCACCCACCUUCUAACGCUUUAGUCUAACCAUUGCUCUCCACUUCUCUCUGCCGUGCAACCCCAGAGAAACACCUUAUUUUAUCUGUCAUUCAAUGUUUUUAGGGAGUUCCUGUUCGAUCUGAUUUCCUGUUCCGAUGGAGUUUGAAUCAGAGGUCUAAUCAGUCAGUCAAUGUUUUGUGAGGUCGGAGUUACAUAGUUCAGAAAAUUUUAUGGUUCAAACUAGAGGAGUACGCAGUAAACAACACGUUUUGAUGUUUGAUGGUGAAACUGGCGUUCGAUUAAGUUCAAGCGUCUUGGGUUUUUAGGCACCCUAAGCAUUGCUAGAAUGUGGGAGAUGCAUGCCUUUUCCCUUUAUGUGAAAGUGAACCCAGGGAUCAUAAUGGCAACUAAAUCCAGUUGAUGAUAGAUUCUUGCGCUUAUAAGGCUGUAUAAAAUCGAACUUCCCUUCAUGAGAUUACUCUCCUUCUUCCUGCUUGGUGAUUGAUUUCGAUAUCCUUUACCUAAUGUAAGGUCGAUCAGUUCUUCCUGAAUUGUGGUAUCACUACAUUGCAUCUCAGCAACAUCCAGACUUUAAUCCUUGUAUGCGUAUGAUUAGCUUCUCUCUAUGUCGUUAGCUGAUGGAAGAACAUCAACAAGGGUGAAGAACUCAUCCUAGUUCACUUGUAGUGUUGUUAUUCAAUUUUUUCUUAUCACAAGUAUUUAUGUUGUAGCUCGGGCUCAGUAUCUACCUAGAAGCAAAAUUACUUUGGGGAAAAUGUCAUUGUUGUCCCAGGUGUCCUUUUUAGAGUUUCUCUGCCAACUUAUUUUUGGUCUUUCCCUUUUUAUGAGUUUCUCCCUUUGUUUCUGUGAGGACACAAGUCAAGGAGCUUGUAUAGGCCUUGCCAAAAAUAUGUUGUGGGUCCCUUUAACUUUGUUUACACAAAUGGUUUAGUUCUUUGCUUUACGAUGUAGAACGCUAGAUUUUCUACACAUUGGUUGCUUUAAAUAAUAUUGUCUGAAGGUGAUUUUUAGAUAGAAGGAUCGCUGGAGUUACUUACACCUGCAUGCACGUUGGAGCUUCUAGGAAUGCCUCUCACACUUAAAAAUGAUGAAUGAAGAACGGGAGUGAUCUCUGCUGCUGUGCGAAUUAGUCAGGAAAUACCCUGAUGUUGAAAGUUCUUGCAGAGUGCAAGACUGGUCAUGCUUCUUGAGCCACGCUCUUAUUCCAUGCGAGAAAUAGUUGUUUUAUGAAGAAACAAAAACUUCCUUGAAUCACAAAACCAA